rnacentral:rRNA from 1 species
UGCGUAGGCGGGUCUUUAAGUCAGGGGUGAAAUCCUGGAGCUCAACUCCAGAACUGCCCUUGAUACUGAAGAUCUUGAGUUCGGGAGAGGUGAGUGGAACUGCGAGUGUAGAGGUGAAAUUCGUAGAUAUUCGCAAGAACACCAGUGGCGAAGGCGGCUCACUGGCCCGAUACUGACGCUGAGGCACGAAAGCGUGGGGAGCAAACA